UGGGGAAUAUUGCACAAUGGGCGCAAGCCUGAUGCAGCCAUGCCGCGUGUAUGAAGAAGGCCUUCGGGUUGUAAAGUACUUUCAGCGGGGAGGAAGGGAGUAUAGUUAAUACCUUUGCUCAUUGACGUUACCCGCAGAAGAAGCACCGGCUAACUCCGUGCCAGCAGCCGCGGUAAUACGGAGGGUGCAAGCGUUAAUCGGAAUUACUGGGCGUAAAGCGCACGCAGGCGGUUUGUUAAGUCAGAUGUGAAAUCCCCGGGCUCAACCUGGGAACUGCAUCUGAUACUGGCAAGCUUGAGUCUCGUAGAGGGGGGUAGAAUUCCAGGGGUAGCGGUGAAAUGCGUAGAGAUCUGGAGGAAUACCGGUGGCGAAGGCGGCCCCCUGGACGAGGACUGACGCUCAGGUGCGAAAGCGUGGGGAGCAAACAGG
rnacentral:rRNA from 1 species